rnacentral:rRNA from 1 species
CACGCCCUAAACGAUGCGAACUGGAUGUUGGGUCCACUUGAGGAUUCAGUAUCGAAGCUAACGCGUUAAGUUCGCCGCCUGGGGAGUACGGUCGCAAGACUGAAACUCAAAGGAAUUGACGGGGGCCCGCACAAGCGGUGGAGUAUGUGGUUUAAUUCGAUGCAACGCGAAGAACCUUACCUGGCCUUGACAUGUCCGGAAUCCUGCAGAGAUGCGGGAGUGCCUUCGGGAAUCGGAACACAGGUGC